UACAGAAGCUUUUUAGGAUAAAAGCUUAGUAGUAAAGUAACUUAAAUGUAGAUGGCCCAUGAAUUCAAUAAUCUCGUCUAAUAUUGUUUAAAUGUAUGUGUAAGUGUCAACUGUCAGAAUAUAUGACUAAGCAUUCUAAAGCAUGAAGAUUACAUUUUCUCAAAUCUUUACUCACUUUUAAAUCGUCUUGGCUGAAGAGUGGAAGCAAGUUCGGUGAAUAAUUUACGUUUUUAUUUGAUUCGAAGUUUUUUGAUUAAUUUUUCACGCGGAACAAAGGCUCUGCUCUCGAGCAAUUAUUUAUCGUACAAAAGCAGCGUCCGAUUGACGCUUUUUGUACGGGCUAAAAAGCUCUACGGCCUUUUUCGGCCAUUACUACUCCACGAGGUGGACAUCUGGACCGUGCAGGCCCGCCAUUACGGUAGCCAAACGGGUAUAGAGGCCCUCCGACCUGCCGAGAAUCCGGAGAAGGUUCAUUUCGUCACGGUGGUCGCGUAGU